GAGGAAGGUGGAUUUAGAAGCCUAGUUCUGGAGGAGGUGGCAAGGUUUCAGCCGCUGCAAAGCCUCUUUCAAAGAGCAAAAAGAGUAGCAAACAAGAGUUUAUCGUUAAACUCACUGUUUCAGAGGUUUUUCCCCAACAAUCUAACUUCAAGGUGGACUAUGCUGAAUGGAAUAAAAUAAUGGGGCAAAAUGGAAAUCGAAAUAUGCCCCCGAACAACUACUCUUCUCCCAUCCAGUCAGAACAUCUUCCCACUGCCCAGAAAGAAUGUCACUGGAAAGGUGACCUUGACGUCCAACCUGCUUAAGAGGAUGAGUGAAUCACCAAUGGUUUUUCGUUUGUUUAUAUGUACCCCUUUAUCCUCGAAUUCGAGCCUGCAAUUGAUCUCGUGAUUGAAUAAUUCUGCCGACACUUUAACGUUUGCUUAUCUCAAAUAGGUUCGACCGUUUGGAGACUUGUGGCGUGUCUCUAUGUUUUAUUAAAUUUAGCUUCGGUAGACUUCACUCUUUACUACCUCCUUUACUUUUAUUCUCCCAAACUCUUCUGGGCAUGAGUAUUCGAUAUUGGUAACUGUGAAAAGCGAGGUCUUAUUGACCCCGAAGAUGAUUAUAAUUGGAGAUGGUAUAAAAGAUAAUUGGGAAGGUCUCGAAUUUUGCUGGAUGGGUGGAGAAGAUUUUAUCUUCCACCUCUACGAAAUAGAGAACUUGACCUACCUAAGGUCUGUGAAACCCAAGAUAAAAUUAUAAGAUUGGCCACUUUGAAAAGAAAAAAUAAAGAUUCUUUGAGUUUUGCACCAAAGGGUGAUCUUGCCGGUCCUCCGAAGAAUAAGAAAAUACUUAGCAAGAAGAAGACAAAGAAAUAGGGGUGACCGGAGCAGGUCCCAAGUCUGUUCUUCAGCUACUCAAUUUCGACUUCAAAAUGAGCCGAAUGAUACUCCCAUCAUCGUGGAGAACGAUGACGAGGAAAUUCCGGAUGUACAUGUUGAUGAUGCAAUUUCUACUCUAGUUCAAAAAUUAGUUGAUGCUUUGUUUGUUGCUGGUUUUGGAUCUCGGAUCUAGUUUCGAGAUCCGAGACCCACUGGCACCUCUUCCUCGACACCGCUGCCCCGUAUUUCGACUCAUAAUGUCGGUGGUCCUUUCACUGGAAAAAGUGUGGAUCGUGUUGUGAUUGAGGUUUCCAAAGAUGUGAAUCUCUGACCUGCUAAGUUUCCCUUGGUUGAAGAGAUUCAUUGGUCCUCAAGAACAGGAAAAAUUUGAUAAUCAUUCCUCUACUAGUUUGAUUAAAGACAUGAUCCACUCUACUCUUUGGGUACGUUUCUUUUUCUUUCCCUAAAUGUUUUCUUUGAAUUUGACGUUUUGAAUAUUAAAAGAAAUUUAAUCUCAUAGUGUAAUUUGGUUGGCAUGUAAGUGUUAAAGAGAUCAAAUACCUUCCAUGAGAAUAUAAUUGCGGAAGCCUUAGAGCAUCAAGCCAAAUUGGUUAUAGCGAAGUUGGCGAAGAUAAAGGCGGAGAUGAAACAACAAGAAGCCACAUCUGUCGAUCAACAUUCCAAGGCAACAGAAGAGAUCCGGAGUCUCAAACAGUUGCUUGCUCAAAAGGAAGCAUAUUCGGGUAAGCUAGUUUUAGACUUUACCCAAGUCACAGAGGACCUCCGAGUAGCAAAAGACAAUGUGAAAUUUCUUGAAGCAUCUCUUCAUCCAUUAAGAAAAAAUCUUAAUGCUUCUAAAACUGAGAAAGUAGAGCUUCGGGUUGAGAAAGAUCCAAUGGUUGCAAUGUAUAAAGCUCUCACACUCCAAUCCAAGAAUAGUUUGAACAUGAUGUUUUUGUAAACUCUCUUGAAUACGUUGAAGGAUGCUCAAGACGGGGAUUUUGAAAUGGAGGAAAACAUUGAAAAGCUAAGAAAGUAGUAGAGACGGCUCGGGAGGCCAUGAGUUCUUCUACUCCGAAGAAGACUAUGAAGAAGAAGAGGCGGACCCGGACAAUGUCUAAUGAGACUAGUGAAGCUGAGCAUACUGAACUGCAUCCUGCCUCUCCGACUCCUCAAGUUGAUCCUUCCGAAGUUGCUUCGUCAACUUUUCAUUUUGCUUCGGGGGUUCUAAAGUUGCUUGUCCUGGGCAUUGAUCAUGCGUGUUGCUUUAGUUUUUACUUGUUGCUCUUUUUUAUUAUCUGAGUCUUUAUCUAUUGUUUAAUAAAUAUUUCAUACUUUUGUUU